GCUGGGUGUGGUGGCACAUGCCCGUUAUCCCAGCGACUCUGGAGGCUGAGGCAGGAGGAUGGCAAGUUCAAAGCCAUUCUCAACAAAUUAGCAAGGCCCUAAGGAACUUGGUGAGACCCUGUCUCUA
rnacentral:sRNA from 1 species